UACGGGGGGGGCAAGCGUUGUUCGGAAUUACUGGGCGUAAAGGGCUCGUAGGUGGCCAACUAAGUCAGACGUGAAAUCCCUCGGCUUAACCGGGGGACUGCGUCUGAUACUGGAUGGCUUGAGUUUGGGAGAGGGACGCGGAAUUCCAGGUGUAGCGGUGAAAUGCGUAGAUAUCUGGAGGAACACCGGUGGCGAAGGCGGCGAUCCUGGACC
rnacentral:rRNA from 1 species